AGUCGAACGAUGAUGCCCAGCUUGCUGGGUUGAUUAGUGGCGAACGGGUGAGUAACACGUGAGUAACCUGCCCCUGACUCUGGGAUAAGCGUUGGAAACGACGUCUAAUACUGGAUAUGAUCGCCGGCCGCAUGGUCUGGUGGUGGAAAGAUUUUUUGGUUGGGGAUGGACUCGCGGCCUAUCAGCUUGUUGGUGAGGUAAUGGCUCACCAAGGCGACGACGGGUAGCCGGCCUGAGAGGGUGACCGGCCACACUGGGACUGAGACACGGCCCAGACUCCUACGGGAGGCAGCAGUGGGGAAUAUUGCACAAUGGGCGAAAGCCUGAUGCAGCAACGCCGCGUGAGGGAUGACGGCCUUCGGGUUGUAAACCUCUUUUAGUAGGGAAGAAGCGAAAGUGACGGUACCUGCAGAAAAAGCACCGGCUAACUACGUGCCAGCAGCCGCGGUAAUACGUAGGGUGCAAGCGUUGUCCGGAAUUAUUGGGCGUAAAGAGCUCGUAGGCGGUUUGUCGCGUCUGCUGUGAAAUCCCGAGGCUCAACCUCGGGCUUGCAGUGGGUACGGGCAGACUAGAGUGCGGUAGGGGAGAUUGGAAUUCCUGGUGUAGCGGUGGAAUGCGCAGAUAUCAGGAGGAACACCGAUGGCGAAGGCAGAUCUCUGGGCCGUAACUGACGCUGAGGAGCGAAAGCAUGGGGAGCGAACAGGAUUAGAUACCCUGGUAGUCCAUGCCGUAAACGUUGGGCGCUAGAUGUAGGGACCUUUCCACGGUUUCUGUGUCGUAGCUAACGCAUUAAGCGCCCCGCCUGGGGAGUACGGCCGCAAGGCUAAAACUCAAAGGAAUUGACGGGGGCCCGCACAAGCGGCGGAGCAUGCGGAUUAAUUCGAUGCAACGCGAAGAACCUUA
rnacentral:rRNA from 2 species